AUUGAACGCUGGCGGCAGGCUUAACACAUGCAAGUCGAGCGGGGUGAUGGUGCUUGCACUAUCACUUAGCGGCGGACGGGUGAGUAAUGCUUAGGAAUCUGCCUAUUAGUGGGGGACAACAUCUCGAAAGGGAUGCUAAUACCGCAUACGUCCUACGGGAGAAAGCAGGGGAUCACUUGUGACCUUGCGCUAAUAGAUGAGCCUAAGUCGGGUUAGCUAGUUGGUGGGGUAAAGGCCUACCAAGGCGACGAUCUGUAACGGGUCUGAGAGGAUGGUCCGCCACGCAGGGACUGAGACACGGCCCAGACUCCUACGGGAGGCAGCAGUGGGGAAUAUUGGACAAUGGGGGGAACCCUGAUCCAGCCAUGCCGCGUGUGUGAAGAAGGCCUUAUGGUUGUAAAGCACUUUAAGCGAGGAGGAGGCUCUUUUGGUUAAUACCCAAGAUGAGUGGACGUUACUCGCAGAAUAAGCACCGGCUAACUCUGUGCCAGCAGCCGCCGUAA
rnacentral:rRNA from 1 species